CCUACGGGUGGCUGCAGUGGGGAAUAUUGCACAAUGGGGGAAACCCUGAUGCAGCGACGCCGCGUGAGUGAAGAAGUAAUUCGUUAUGUAAAGCUCUAUCAGCAGGGAAGAAAAUGACGGUACCUGAGUAAGAAUCCCCGGCUAACUACGUGCCAGCAGCCGCGGUAAUACGUAGGGGGCCAGCGUUAUCCGGAUUUACUGGGUGUAAAGGGAGCGUAGACGGCAGGGCAAGUCUGGAGUGAAAGGCGGGGGCUCAACCCCCGGACUGCUGUUGAAACUGUAAGGCUUGAGUGCAGGAGAGGUAAGUGGAAUUCGUGGUGUAGCGGUGAAAUGCGUAGAUAUUAGGAGGAACACCAGUGGCGAAGGCGGCUUACUGGACUGUAACUGACGUUGAGGCUCGAAAGUGUGGGGAGCAAACAGGAUUAGAUACCCGGGUAGUC
rnacentral:rRNA from 1 species